GACUCUCGGCAAUAGAUAUCUCAGCUCUCGCAUUGAUGAAGAACGUAGCAAAAUGCGAUACUUGGUGUGAAUUGCAGAAUCUCGUAAACCAAAGAGUAUUUGAAUGCAAGGUACGCCCGAAGCCAUUAGGCCGAGGGCAUGUCUACGUGGGCAUCA